rfam:Mesocricetus auratus contig191291, whole genome shotgun sequence.
UUGCCAGCCAGGCUCCUGGCUAAAGUCCAGCUCUUAGCUGGAUUUAGCCAAAGCCUGGCUGUAAA